AAAAAUGUCCUUAGGUUUAGGAUUUCUUCUCUUUGGCUGGCAGUAGACAUCCUGAUCAAAAUGGUCACUGCAGAUCUGAUAGUCUGCAAGGCGCGGCGUAUGGACC